UCGUUGUCUAAACAGUAAUCCAACCCAGUACGAGAGGAACCGUUGGUUCAGAUAAUUGGUAACUGCGGUUAGCUGAAAAGCUAGUGCCGCCAAGCUACCAUCUGUAGGAUUAUGGCUGAACGCCUCUAAGUCAGAAUCCAUGCUGGAAUAGACGAUAAUCACCUUUCCCGAUGUGCCGCGAAUAGCGAUAGGUGUCUUCUGGACACCCAACAUCAUACAAUUGCAACGCACUCCGCUGCCUGUCAAGUACUGGCGGUGGAGAGUAGGCUGAUUUGUAAUUUCAAAUAUUGGGAAAGAUAAAUCCUUUGUAGACGACUUAACUACAGAACGGGGUGUUGUAAGCAUGAGAGUAGUCUUGUACUACGAUCUGCUGAGAUUUAGCCCUUGUUCUAUUGAUUU
rfam:Phytophthora infestans T30-4 supercont1.52 genomic scaffold, whole genome shotgun sequence.